AUGUCUGAUCGUAGCGGCCAGCGGCAAUGCCGCCGAGGCGUCUCGGGCGACGUCGAGCUCGACGCGGCCAUGGCACUGGCCAACAUGGCCGGCGUUUCGGGGCCAGCAGCUCUUCCCGCCGCGCACCCGGCGGCGCCGCAGCAUGGCGCCAGCCGCGAGGAGGAGGAGGAGCUGGCGAGCACGAGGCUGAGCCUGGAGCUGGGCAAGGUCGGCAUCCAGGCGUCGUCGUGCUCCAGCAGCUCCAGCGCCGGGUGUCCCUCGCAGCAGGCGCGGGUGGCCGCGGCGGCUCCAGGUGGAGGCGGCUACGGCCCAAGGCCCCGGCAUACGCUCACCGAGGCUGAGAAGGAGGCAAAGCGGCUGCGGCGCGUGCUCGCGAACCGGGAGUCUGCGCGCCAAACCAUACUCCGCCGUCAGGCGAUCCGAGACGAACUGGCGAGGAAAGUUGCGGACUUGUCGUCACAAAACGAGAGCAUGAAGAAGGAGAAGGAGACGGCGAUGCAAGAGUAUCUCACACUCCAGGAGACGAACAAGCAGCUGAAAGAACAGGUUAUUGCGAAGACGGCAGAGAAGGCGCCGCCGCCGGUGGUAACGUCCAUGGACACGACGCCACCAGCGGAGCAGCGGGCAGAAGCCACGCUGUCCACGGCGGCCCCGCUGGACGCACCCCCUGGGCCGGGCUUCCUUUACGCAACAGCUGGGCCCCCAGCCGUGCCGGUGCCGUAUGUCUGGGGCUCUUGGCCGGGGUACAAUCCGAACGCCAGCAACCCGGGCGGCGCCAUCAGCACUGGACAUGCCCCGCCGCUCUGCUUUCCGCCCUGCGCGUGGUACUACCCCGUCGUCACCGACCCACAUGGUUCGCCGGCGGCAUCUUACGCGCAGCCGCUCCAUGAGACAACGAGCGGGGGCGCCAGCCAGGGUACCUGCGGCGGAACGGCCGAUGAGGACACCGACGACGACCCGUGCUCGCUCACGCUGGGGCUUGACGUCGACAGGAAGUGUGCGACGAGCGCCGAGAGCGGCGGCAGCCGUGCUGUGGCGGGAGACAGAGAGAGGGCGGUGAUGGCAGCGGAGGCGAGAAAGAGGAGGAAGGAGCUGACGAAGAUGAAGCAGACGCAUCUCGGCGGCCGUCCUGGAGACGAGUAG
rnacentral:rRNA from 1 species